rnacentral:rRNA from 1 species
UACGUAGGGGGCAAGCGUUGUCCGGAAUCAUUGGGCGUAAAGAGCGUGUAGGCGGCCCGGUAAGUCCGCUGUGAAAGUCCAGGGCUCAACCCUGGGAUGCCGGUGGAUACUGUCGGGCUCGAGUCCGGAAGAGGAGUGUGGAAUUCCUGGUGUAGCGGUGAAAUGCGCAGAUAUCAGGAGGAACACCAAUAGCGAAGGCAGCUCGCUGGGACGGUACUGACGCUAAGGCGCGAAAGCGUGGGGAGCGAACAGG